rnacentral:rRNA from 1 species
UACAGAGGGUGCGAGCGUUGUUCGGAAUUAUUGGGCGUAAAGGGCGCGUAGGCGGCGCCACAAGUCACUUGUGAAAACUCUGGGCUCAACCCAGAGCCUGCAGGCGAAACUGUGGUGCUGGAGUAUGGGAGAGGUGCGUGGAAUUCCCGGUGUAGCGGUGAAAUGCGUAGAUAUUGGGAAGAACACCGGUGGCGAAGGCGGCUCUCUGGACCGUAACUGACGCUGAGGCGCGAAAGCGUGGGGAGCAAACAGG